AAACUCGUUAUGUUUCCAUUCGCACUGUAUCGGUACUCGGUUACAGCGAGAGUGGACUGUUGACGAUUUUUGUUACGGCCUGUUGCUUGUUUCUUGCACGAGCUCCGGUAGAUUUUUAGACAAUAUUGUUCAUUCUUAUAAGGUUACGGCGUUUUUCCAAAGGUGUUACGGCGUGUUCACCGAAUUCGUUUGAUUAUGGAAUUGUCAUUCAUUGAUGAAUCGUCUGUUAUCAUUAAUGAAACUGAUAUAUCAAUGAACAUUUCUUCGCCAGAUGUGAAAGAAAACAAUAUCACCAAUUCUGACAACAGUCCUGAUAUUACCUGUUAUAACAGCAACCCCAAAAUCAAAGGAUUGCACAUAACACGGCUAUUGGUAUACCAGUCGUUGUGCACUGGCUCGAACGAGAAAUAUGUCAAUGAGUCCACCGACGGUUAUCGACGCUAGAGCGACCACGCAUCAGGCGAGCGCUUUUCCACUGGACUACGACCCGCCCCAACACCGCCCUAAGUGCACGCGAAUCUGGCAUUACAUCAUUUGACAUUCAGUUUUGAUUCUGUCACUAUACAGAGGCGUCGGAACUGGGGCGGUAGGGGAGGCGACCGCCGCCCCAAUAUUCAGGAGAAAAAACUUCUAUAAUUUUUGCGGUGUGAAAUACAUUUGCUACAAAAAUGUGUAUGAGACACCUACCAAAGUUGUCUCUUAAAUGCAGUAGAAUGCAAGAAAUGGCAUCUAGAACUCAAACAUUUUUCUGGGGACCCCCAAACACUGGCUCGGGUCGACAUUUGCUUCCCCAAUAUUAAUUU